rnacentral:lncRNA from 10 species
UCAUCUAUAAGCAAGGACACCUCUGGAAGACGCAAGGCCUGGAUGUCACAGCCAGCCUUAUCAAUAAACAAUCUUCUGCCUUGACAGACGGAAGAGGAAGGGCCAAUGCAAUGAAUACUCAGAUCAAGUGUCUGUCUGGAAAGCUGGCAGUCUUCCAGAAAUACAAUUAGGGCCCAUUCCAGUGGAACAGAAGUGCUACUUUGGGGGUGGACUGAAACAAGUUGCUGGGCUUCCAUUGGCCAUUGCCACUUGCUUGUCGUUGUGAGGAGGGGCCGUGCCUCCACAGGCCCAUACCUGUAACCUGACGAUACUGUUGUGAGCGGGAAUGGAGGAAGUGCAUGGAAGCCCCUCAGCACGAUGCAUAGUGAACAGACAAGCUGUGAACCUUGGGAGUUAUCACCAUGUGUGAUGAUGCUGGUGAAGAAAGCCUGCACUGAGGAGGCUGUCAGCCUGGGUUUGAAUCCCCUCAUUUGGAAUAUAAUCUUGGCAAAGUCU